ensembl:lncRNA
CCCACAGCCAUCGGACAUUGGCUUUUGCUGCCCCACAUCCAUCAGAGGUUGACUUUGGCCGCCCCACAUCCAUCAGACGUUGGUUUGGCUGCCCCACAUCUACCGGACGUUGGCUUUGGCUGCCCCACAUCCAUCAGCCGUUGGUUUGGCUGCCCCACAUCUACCGGACGUUGGCUUUUGCUGCCCCACAUCCAUCAGCCGUUGGUUUGGCUGCCCCACAUCUACCGGACGUUGGCUUUGGCUGCCCCACAUCCAUCAGCCGUUGGUUUGGCUGCCCCACAUCUACCGGACGUUGGCUUUGGCCGCCCCACAUCCAUCAGACGUUGGCUUUGGCUGCCCCACAUCCGUUGGGAUAUUGGCUUUGGCCGCCCCACAUCUAUCAGACGUUGGCUUUGGCCGCCCCACAUCUAUCAGCCGUUGGUUUGGCUGCCCACAUCUACCGGACGUUGGCUUUGGCCGCCCCACAUCUAUCAGAGGUUGACUUUGGCCGCCCCACAUCCAUCAGACAUUGGUUUGGCCGCCCCACAUCUAUCAGAGGUUGACUUUGGCCGCCCCACAUCCAUCAGACGUUGGUUUGGCUGCCCCACAUCUACCGGACGUUGGCUUUGGCUGCCCCACAUCUAUCAGACGUUGACUUUGGCUGCCCCACAUCCAUCGGACGUUGGUUUGGCUGCCCCACAUCCAUUGGGAUAUUGGCUUUGGCCACCCCACAUCCCAUCGGACGACGGUUUGGCUGCCCCACAUCCCAUAGGAUGCUGAAUAUGGCCACCCCACAACCCCAAUAUGGCCACCCCAUAUCCCUAAUUAAUUUACCCACCCCAUAUCCUUAAUUUGGCCACCCCACAUCCCAUAGGACGACGGUUUGGCUGCCCCACAUCCCAUAGGAUGCUGAAUAUGGCCACCCCACAUCCCAUAGGAUGACAGUUUGGCUGCCCCACAUCCCAUAGGAUGCUGAAUAUGGCCACCCCACAACCCUAAUAUGGCCACCCCACAUCCCAUAGGAUGACGGUUUGGCUGCCCCACAUCCCAUAGGGUGCUGAAUUUCCCCCCCCCAACCCUAAUAUGGCCACCCCACAACCUUAAUAUGGCCACCCCAUAUCCCUAAUUAAUUUGGCCACCCCAUAUCCUUAAUUUGGCCACCCCACAACCCUAAUAUGGCCACCCCACAUCCCAUAGGAUGACGGUUUGGCUGCCCCACAUCCCAUAGGGUGCUGAAUUUCCCCCCCCAACCCUAAUAUGGCCGCCC